UACGAAGGGGGCUAGCGUUGUUCGGAAUUACUGGGCGUAAAGCGCACGUAGGCGGAUUGUUAAGUCGGGGGUGAAAUCCCGGGGCUCAACCCCGGAACUGCCUUCGAUACUGGCGAUCUCGAGUCCGGAAGAGGUUAGUGGAAUUCCCAGUGUAGAGGUGAAAUUCGUAGAUAUUGGGAAGAACACCAGUGGCGAAGGCGGCUAACUGGCUCGAUACUGACGCUGAGGUGCGAAAGCGUGGGGAGCAAACAGG
rnacentral:rRNA from 1 species